UAUAAAUAGAACGUAAUAGGUCGUCACAAUAUUUCCACUUCUAUUCACUGUGGUAAAAAUUAUAAAUAAAGUGCAUUAUUAUUAAAAUGUAUGUGGCCCAUAAUAACUUCUACUUACAUGAUGUGACCCAGUCUUCACAACAAUUUGGACACCCCUGCUAUAGGUGUUUUUCGGCAGAGUUGCAUUUCACUUUUUUUUUCUUUUACUUUAACCUAUAUAACCUUAUCUUAUGUCGUCCGGCGGAGCUAUCUCACAUAGUGUGUACAGUUUGUAAGUGGUUGUUGGUUUUAGACAUGAUUAUUUUGCAUUAUUCAUUAAGUACCAUGUCUAUAUUGUUUCCACUGGUCAAAGAAAACCACGCUGUAUUCCGCAGCCGAGUAGUACAGAGCUUCUAGAGCUGUUGAUUUAAGGGUUAUAGAGUGUGGGCCUCACUUGGAAGGGACCAGUUUUUCAAUAGGUUGUUUCUGAUUUUAACUUUGACUUUUGUAUUUUCGCAGCAUUUCCCGAAGGUAAGUAAUCUGUAUAGGUAUUUCGGGAAAGUGAUUUGGAGUUCGCGUGCUGCCUGUCAAUUGUUUAGGUUUUUUUAGUGUUUUAGGGGAAUUGAAUUUGAUCUAGUUUGCUGUCUGGUGUAUACGAAAAUUAUCUGAGGCUUUUUUUAGGCGUCAAAUGCAGCAUGUCGUGUAGCGUCCCCCCUUAAAUG